rnacentral:rRNA from 1 species
GAUCAUGGCUCAGGAUGAACGCUAGCUACAGGCUUAACACAUGCAAGUCGAGGGGCAGCAUGAACUUAGCUUGCUAAGUUUGAUGGCGACCGGCGCACGGGUGAGUAACGCGUAUCCAACCUGCCCUUGCCCACCGGAUAACCCGUCGAAAGGCGGACUAACACGGUAUGCAGUCCACAGCAGGCAUCUAACGUGGACGAAAUGCGAAGGAGAAGGAUGGGGAUGCGU